GCAGGUGUAGCUCAGUGGCAGAGCGCCCUCUUUCCAAGAGGGAGGCGCAGUGUUCGAUCCCUGUCACCUGCU
rnacentral:tRNA from 1 species